rnacentral:miRNA from 1 species
UUUGAGAAUUGAACUAGAAGC